ensembl:lncRNA
CGGGUCGGCCGCGGCGGAGCGCUCCCCACGCGCUGCGGCGCCCGCGAGAGCCGCUCCGCAGCAAACCGCAGAUGCGAGCGCUUUGUUGUGACAAGCUGGAAAGCUGUCUGCCUGUGCAGGGAGAAGGAAAAAAAAAAAAAGAAGAAGAAGAAAAAGGAGGAGGAAGGAGGAUAUAUGAGUUCGUGGUCAAUGGGGCAGACACGUGAUUGCUAGCUUGAUACUUUGGGAAGAAAAAAGGUGUCCGAUGACCAUCAUUACUCAGAGCUAAGCACCUUUUUCCCUUUGUGUGAAACACACGGAAGACUUUUACUCCUUGAUGCCAAACAGCUCAAGAGAGACCAAGACUUCGAGUUCCUGGAAGAAUAAAACUUACAUUUUAAAAUCUGUGGUCUUUAACUUCCCAGCUCAUACAGAGGUAGCGGCAGCACUCCUCUGUGCAGCCAUAUCCCUUUGUGCCCUGUCAAAACCUCCUUAGCAAAAAUGCCUUGUUCUGGUGAAGUAGCUUAGCAGGGCUCUAUCUUGACCACCAGCAACACAGAACAAAGGGGUAACAAAAUUAAUGUGUUCUAUUAGUUAGUUUUGUUUUCCUCUCUUAUAGCUUUUACCUAUUUUUUUUUUUUUUUUUUUUAGCAAUAUGGGGUUUCUUUUCCCAGUCCAGAGAAAUCUUGUUCAUGUACACAUCAAAACAUUUGAUGGAAUAAAAAAGUUAUGUGCGAGAUUCAUUUGGUCUCUGCGCUUCCAGGAAUCAAUGAGACACCAUGGAGGCAUGUUCCCAGCUGGGGUGAAUUGCCAUCCCCACACCGAAGCCAGCGGACCAAUGACAGUUUAAGCCAGCCUGCUCCUUAGUGUAUGAGGGUUCAACUUCCUCCAACGCACACAUGCAAUCAGAAAAUACACUUUAAAAAUCUAAUAAUACUUACUUGAGGCUUUUAAACUCCUGAGGGGUAGAUAGAUACAAGGCAGUAAACCAGCAGAGGGAAAGAAAAACAGUUAAAAUAAACUAAUAAAAAAUCCUAUAGGAAGGAAAUGACACCCCCCACACACCCUCCCUCUCCUCCCUCCUCCCCCUUUAAAAGGGGAAAAAAUU